UACGAAGGGGGCUAGCGUUGCUCGGAAUCACUGGGCGUAAAGCGCACGUAGGCGGCUUGUUAAGUCAGGGGUGAAAUCCUGGAGCUCAACUCCAGAACUGCCUUUGAUACUGGCGAUCUCGAGUCCGGGAGAGGUGAGUGGAACUGCGAGUGUAGAGGUGAAAUUCGUAGAUAUUCGCAAGAACACCAGUGGCGAAGGCGGCUCACUGGCCCGGUACUGACGCUGAAGUGCGAAAGCGUGGGGAGCAAACAGG
rnacentral:rRNA from 1 species